CAAUAGCGUAUAUUAAAGUUGUUGCAGUUAAAAAGCUCGUAGUUGGAUUUGUGGCGUACGGUGGGUUCCGGGCACUUGUUGUCUGAGUAACUCGCUGUUGCCAUCCUUGGGUGGAACCUGUGUGGCAUUAGGUUGUCGUGCAGGGGAUGCCCAUCAUUUACUGUGAAAAAAUUAGAGUGUUCAAAGCAGGCUUAUGCCGUUGAAUAUAUUAGCAUGGAAUAAUGAGAUAGGACUUUUUUGCUAUUUUGUUGGUUUGCGCAAAGAGGUAAUGAUUAAUAGGGACAGUUGGGGGUAUUCGUAUUCCAUUGUCAGAGGUGAAAUUCUUGGAUUUUUGGAAGACGAACUACUGCGAAAGCAUUUACCAAGGAUGUUUUCAUUAA
rnacentral:rRNA from 1 species